ensembl:snRNA U1 U1 spliceosomal RNA
AUACUUACCUGGCAGGGGAGAUACCAUGAUCACGAAGGUGGUUUUCCCAGGGAGAGGCUUAUCCAUUGCACUCUGGAUGUGCUGACCCCUGCGAUUUCUCCAAAUGUGCAAAACUCGACUGCAUAAUUUGUGGUAGUGGGGGACUGCAUUUGCGCUUUCCCCUG